AGACGUAAAAUCCACUUGUCUGUCGUAUAUAAGAUGUUGUCUCGUGCAAGAGCUUCAGUCGUUCUUGACUCUCUGACCAUAGAGAUACUCUCGUUCGUAUAGAAGAAAAAAGAAAUCCAAAAAGAAGAAGAAAAAAGAACCAAAACGAAACGAAAGAAAUAUCGCGAGUGAUAACCAAUCGAAUCACAAAGUGAGAACACCAUGAGAUUGUUCAGUUUCGUGCCAGUGUUGGUACUACUUUUCAUUCAAGAUUCCUUUGCUAAACCUGGUUUAAUUGGUGAUUUGACAUCAGGUUUAUCAAGUGGAAGUCUUUUGGAUCCACUUGGACUAUUUAGCAAAGGAGAUAAGAGUCAAGCUUCUGCCAAUAGCAAUGCUCAAUCAUUAGGUACCAAUUUGAAUCUUGGACCAUUAGGCCUGUCCGCCAAUUUGGCAUCAUCCUCGGCAUCAGCAACAGCCCAUGGGGAUGGUUCUGCAUCUGCCAAAGCAAAUUCUAAUGCUCAAAGUUAUGGUUAUAAUGGUGCCAGUGCUAACGCCAACGCCAACGCCAACGCCAAUGCCAACGCCAACGCCAAUGCUGGAGCUUCAGCCAAUGGUGGUGCACAAGGCUAUGAUGGUUCUUCGAGUCUUUACAACGAUGGAUCUUUAAAUAACAAUGAUAUCACUGGCAACUAUAAUUUAAGACCAAGUGAACCUUAUUCGAACAAUAUCUUUCCUUCGAAUGGACAAUACGGCGGUUACGAUGGUUCCUCAUAUAAUUCUGGAAAUGCUCAGUCAAAUGCUAAUGCAAAUGCUGAUGCAUAUAGUGGUAGCAAUGGAGGUACUUUGCUUCCAUCAAAACCAAACCCAUCUUUGGGACCAACUUAUGUCGCUGAUUAUGGCCCAUCUUAUCCUCAAUACCAAGGAAAUAGUGGUAGUACUUCUGGAAAUUCAAAUGCAUAUUCUAGUGCCAAUGCAAAUGCAAAUGCUAAUGUUAAUUCUGGUAGGACUGAGUAUGGAUAUAACAUACCCGAAUCAAUUCCUAUAAAUAUCCCACAAACGGUUCAACGACCACAACCUACCUUACAUCAGAAACCUGUAAUAAUAAAUCAAUCUCCACCAAACCCGAUAAUUCGGCAACCUAUACAAAAUUCAAAUCCUCAUUCCAGUGCCAGUGCAAAUGCAAAUGCUAAUGCUAAUGCUAAUAAGAUUGAUCGUGGAUAUAUAGUACCAGUAAUCGAAUCCAUUCCUAUAAACGUUCCGCAAAAUAUUCAACGACCACAGCCUGUCCAACAAAGACCUGUAAUAAUAACUCGACCUCCACCAAACCCAAUACAUCAACAACCAAGACCGAUUAUUCAUAGUGUUCCUGAGUUACAUAAUUCAGCAACACUGCCAGUGGUUAUCGUCGAAGGUCCGCAACAACAACCAAUAAGCAGACCUGGUGUCUAUCCUCAACAUCGACCUCAUUAUCAUCAUCCACAUAGACCAAAGCAACAACCUAUUGAAAUCUUCGUUAUCGAUGGUGACAGCAUUCCGACUCAAGCUCAAGGUGGAUAUCAUGGCAAUUAUGGUGCAAAUUCAGGCGGAUCCGGGCAAUAUAAUGGAAAUUAUGGUUCUGGAACAGGUCAUAGAAGAGGAAAUCCUUUCCUAAAUGGUGGAUCAACUAGUAAUGCCAAUGCCGCAGCUAAUGCCAAUGCAAAUGCUAAUGCUAAUGCCAAUGCUGCUGGUCAGUCUGGAUCACUUGGAUAUAAUGGUGGAGGUGAAUAUCUUGGUAAUAUCGGAGCAAACAAUCCUUUCCUUACUGGAUCUGGAAGUGCUGGAGCAAAUGCAAAUGCAAAUGCAAAUGCAAAUGCAAAUGCAAAUGCUAAUGCUAAUGCUCAGGGACACGGUCAAGGACAAAUUGGAGCACAGAAUCCUUUCUUAACUGGUGGAUCAAGUAAUCUUGGUGGAUAUGGCAGUCUUGGUGGAUCUAGCAAUCUUCAAACAGGGACAGGACAUUAUCAAGGACAUGCUCAAGGAAUACCUACCCAAAUUCCAUCAAAACCAAGUUGUGGUGGUUCUGGAUGUAACAACGGUCCUUCGAUAGUAAUAAUUGAUCAAAACAAACCUAAAGGUAUACCAACGACUCUACCAAAAGAAACAAAUUCUGGAUAUUAUGGUGGAAGCCAAGCAGGAAGUUCAGCGAAUGCUAAUACUGGAAGUUAUGCUGGUACACAAAAUCAACCUACCAAAGGUGCCCCAAUCAUUUUAAAUGGACCUAAUUAUGGUGGUCAGCCUAAAUAUCCAAGUACCGGAGAAUCAGGAUUCUUGGGUGGAAACUAUGGAAGUGGUAGCGGCUCUGCCGGAUCCAAUGCAAAUGCUAUUUCAUCGGCUAAUGCUGGAAGUUCUGGAUCUGGAUCUGGAUCAGGUGGUUAUGGUGGGCAGAGUAACGUACCACUUAAAGGAAGUCCUAUUUUCGGUCUUGGAGGAUCUGGUUCUGGAAACUUGGGUGGUUAUGGAAGCGGUAGUGGCUCGGCAGGGUCCAAUGCAAAUGCUAUUUCAUCGGCUAAUGCUGGAAGUUCUGGAUCUGGAACAGGUGGUUACAAUGGACAAGGUGGAUAUGGCGGAGGAUAUGGCGGUGGUUCAUCAGGAAGUUCUGGAUCUGGAAGUGGAGGAUUCGGUGGAAGUAUUGGCGGAGGUGCUUUAGGAGGAAGUUCAGGAUCUGGAAGUGGAGGAUUCGGUGGAAGUACUGGUGGAGGUGCUUUAGGAGGAAGUUCUGGAUCUGGAAGUGGAGGAUUCGGUGGAAGUAUUGGCGGAGGUGCUUUAGGAGGAAGUUCAGGAUCUGGAAGUGGAGGAUUCGGUGGUAGUACUGGUGGAGGUGCUUUAGGAGGAAGUUCUGGAUCUGGAAGUGGAGGAUUCGGUGGAAGUAUUGGCGGAGGUGCUUUAGGAGGAAGUUCUGGAUCUGGAGGAUCAGGAUUCGGUGGAAGUACUGGUGGAGGUGCUUUAGGAGGAAGUUCUGGAUCUGGAAGUGGAGGAUUCGGUGGAAGUAAUGGUGGAGGUGCUUUUGGUGGAAACGCUGGAUCUGGAGGCUCUGGAUUUGGUGGUGGUUCUGCCGGAUCGAGUGCCAGUGCUAAUGCCAAUGCAAAUUCUGGCUCUUCCGGUGGAUUUGGUGGUUAUGGAAGUGGCAACAUAAAGGGAUCUGGAUCAGGCUUCGGAGGAUUUGAUGGACAAGGUGGUUCAAGCGGCUACGGUGGAAGUCAUGGAGGUUCAGGAAGUUUAGGUGGAGGAUACGGUUCUUCUGGAUCAAACGCUGUUGCCAAUGCCGGUGCUAGUGCCAAUGCUGGAAGUUCAGGUGGUUCAAGAGAAUCAGGAUAUGGUGGGCCAAGCAUAUUAGGAGGUUAUGGAAAUAAAGGAUACGGUGGAGGAUCAGGAUCAAGCGCUUAUUCCGAUGCUAACUCUUCUGCUAGUGCUGGUGGAUCGUCCCAUGCAACUUCAAAUGCAAAAUCAAGUGCAUUUUCGAGUGCCGGUGGAUCGGCCAAUGCUAAAGCCAAUGCUGAGGCAUCCAGUAGUGCUACAGGAUUCGGUUCGAAAUCAUCGGCAUCGAGUCAUGCAUCUGCUACUGCUGAUACCAGUGACAUGCUCGUAUUCGUGGACUGACCUCAACAUUCCAACGACGAUUUAUCAGGCAUUCGAUAAAACGAUUCCUAUAUGGUUCAUUUUCGCAAAGUGACCGAAGUUAUUAAUUGCACGAUUCAACUUCUUUUUCUUUGUUUUGUUUCUUCUUUUUUUUUUUUGGUAUUCUAGCAAUUUUUAUAAUUCUGCGAGUAACUUUUGCCAUUAAUGUUGUAAUACAAUUGUUUUUUGUAAAUACCUUUAUUCGAUUUUUGUGCUUUUUUAUUACUUUUUUUUUUUUAUAUUGAAUUAUGUCACAUUAUUUCCAAUUGUAAACAAUAUAUAAGAUGUGCCGAGUAAAAUUUUUUUUUAUAAUUUGUUUUCAUUUUUCAUUCGAAGAUAUUGCAAAAAAAAAGAUCGUGUUUGGUAGGUCCAUACUUUUUAAUGGAUAUAGGAAUCGAGUAAUAUGAUAUAAUACUCGGAUUAUACAAUAUCUGCUUAACUUCCGAUAAAACACGUGACUAAUUGUUGAUAAUGUCGAAUCGAAGAUAAUAGGAACCAUUUGAUCACGUUAGAAUUAAACUUUGUACAAAACCAGUAUAGUAGUUUGUAAUACGUGUAACCAGGCAUGUCAUUGUGAACUAUAAUUGUAUUGUUCAUUUCUGUGUCUCCCUCGAGCUAUUUGUCGAUAUUGUUAAUCUUUAAUAUCUAAUAUUAAAUUAGAUAUAUAUCCUCGCUUAGAUAAAUUAUUUUGAUUUAGAAGUGACCAUAACACAUUGAUAAAACGAAAAUUAUUUCUUAUAUUUUAUGUUAUUCCCUCAAAAUCAUAGGAUUCACAUAAAAUUAUUUAGAAUGGAGUGUUUAGAAAAAAAAGAACUAGAAAAAAGAAAAAUACAGUAUUUUUAUAUUCAUUUGUUAUUAAUCUUUUAUGAAACGUAUACACGCACUCAUUUACGCACCUACGUGAUUUUCAGUGUAACAUGUCAGAAAUUUAAUUGUGAUUUGUUUUUUAACUAUGAAUAUUAUGAGAUUAGGAUGAGAAAGAUAUAAAUAUAUAUAAAACAACUAUAUAUAUAUAUAUAUAUGGAAGAUAAAACAACUGUAAUCAACGUUCAAUUUGUCCUAAGGAUUAUUGUGCGAUUUUUUUUCUUUUUUUUUUUUGUAAUUCAUAUAUAAUUACCAAGAAUUACUUUAACAUCAAACAUUAUUCGUUUCGGAUUUUCCUUGAAAUUCUCCUCUAUUAUCAACUUCUUAUCUUGUAUGCACUUGACGUAAACACUCUUUCAUUCUCGUCUCUCUUACAUAAUAUUUUACUGCGCGUCUUAUUUGUAAGCACUAAAAAUUUGAAAUAAAAUUUACGAUACAUUCGA